UGGUAUUUUCUCACUUGGUAUUUUUGUUUUUAGUGGGCUGCAGAAAGCUGGAAGUUUACAAAAGGAAAUACCCUUCAGUUCUACAACAGGCUGACUGGAGGGUUUGUCCGUCUGCAUCCAGAUGGCACAGUUGAUGCCCUUGGAGAGAAGACUGACAAAUAUGGACUCUUUGAUGUUAUUUUCAAUAAAGGAAAUAUAUGCAUUUUCCAGAGUCAUGAGAUGAGGCAUCUUUCUCUUGGUAUUGACAAUGGCUUUGUCACUGGAGUGGCUUGUGGUGGAGCCUCCAGUGAGCUGCGGGUGCUUUAUCAGUCCAGCCGCUGCUCACUUCUUACAUCGGCAGCGGUUCCUGGCCACAUGGUGAUUUUUGAUCGUCAUGGAAAAAUAGCUGAUGAGUCCUCAGGAGGCUAUGCAAACCUUUCAAAAGAAUUUGUGAUUUUUGUCAAGGGGGUGUUCCUCAACAGUGCUGUGGUUCUCCUUGCUACAAGCCUGUGCCAGGCCUUGUGUCUCCAACCUGAUGGGACCUGCACUGGAGCAGGAA
rnacentral:lncRNA from 1 species